GGCUGUGAACUUCUGAAAAGAAAAAUGACAACAGAAAGCCGAAAACUCCCAGUCUCUAGAGGAUUGAGAAGAUUGAAACGAAGCAACUUCAUCUUCCUCUGGAAAGACUGGAAGAUCAGUCAGAAAACUUGCCUCCAGAUCUGCCCUAUCAGGUUCACUGCUGCGCAUCACCUUAAGUGGCGAAGGUGGCAUUCACUCCUUCUGAGAGCUCUCCGUGCAUGCUGGCUGUGCUCCUCAGCCAAGCACCACAGAAGUUCCUUGUGUAUGGUAUUUGGUCUUGACAACCCUUCCAAAAAAGGUUUCGCCACCCUCACUCAGAUUCUGGGGGAUGUAGAUGCCUUCCCUUCAUGGUGUGCUGGCAAGUGCUAAGCAUCGGGAAGAAAGCUCUUUUCACGGAAGCUCAGCAUCCCACACCUCCUCCACCCUGUGUAAGCUCUGUACAAGCACACGUACAAAGCUUUCAUCUGAGAUGAUGGACACUGGCAAGGUCUUCCAGGGGACUCUGCUGGAGGCUGAAGAUUUGGGUCUCUGGAAUUGAGUGUCACUAUAUGCAAAGACAAGCCAACUUUUGAGAAUCUAGUCAAGAAUCCAGUGUCACAAGGUGUAAAAGGCCACGAUAAACUCAUGGGUAGAGAAAAGGAGAAGUUCGCUUGGAAGACUCUUUCAUUAGGAAAUUGGACCAGUUUGCAGCUAAGAGAAGAAUUCUGGUCCUGUGGGAUGUGAUAAGAUCACACACGCCUGGAAUAGUAAGUCAAUAUCACAAAAGAUGAGUACUAACGGCAUGAGGAAGCAGCUACACCCUGAAGUGGGAAUAGGAAAUGUAGGAUCCUUACGAGGAUAGGCUCCCUGGUCAGUCUGGAGGUCCGGAACAGCUGCCAGUGCAGUCAUCACAUCUGGAACUGGAAUUGUCCCCAGCUGAGGUUGGGGACAAGAGAAGAAUUUUGAGUGAUGCAGAGUGUGGGGUGUGAGUGCCUGACGGGAGUUUAUUGAGACUCUUGUGCUUCAAAUUAGUGCUGGUCUCAAGAGCCACAACACAGUUAUUUUUUCUAGUGGCUACUACAAGUGCUGGCUGCGGGGAAGGGUAGACAUGACUACAGUCCUUUCACAGCAGCAACUUUCUGUCCCCCUGGCUUCUUGAUUCCACUGAUUAUUCUCAAAGCAGCUUAUGUUUGUGGACCUGUAGCUCCCCACCUUUGAGCAUAGCAGAGUGGUUUAACGAGAUGCCACAUAGUGCUUUCUUCUUGCUCUGUCGCUAGAAGUUGGCCUGUCUCUUGGUAUAGGCCCCCCUCAGAGGCUUUUGGGAAGACUGAGUCAGAAGUUUCUGGAAGAUUCUAUCUUUGCUAACAUCUGGGAGAACUGAAGGUUGUUGAAGAACAGAGAGAAAGUGAGAGCACAGGCUAUUGCCAGGGAAUCUACAGGCCUCAAAAGAAGGGGGAAGGAGGAAAAGCCCCAGGCUGAGGAUGUGGCAGAGUCAAGGGAACCACAGGCAGAGCUAUCUCAGGGGGUAGGAUGUGGAGAGGAAGCCCCAAGGCACUCCUGAUGAUCAUUAUAUCAUCAACCAGACCUUGAAAGAGCCCUGCUCCCAACAGUGGCUGGAAUGCUGGCCCUAAACCAGAAGGACACUUCAUUCUGUAAUGACAGCAUCUUAGAUAAAUCACAGCCUCCGUAUGGACAUAGUAGUUAAAUGUCAGGAAGACCUGAAGAGGCACAGGUGCCUAUCCCAUAAUGUUUCCUAAUCAUGUGGUUUCUAGGAUUGCUGAGAAACACUGGGAAGGGUAAAAUGGAACCUACAGUAUUCCAUUUCUUCAUGUAAGAGUUUUUUCCUUGCAAGUAAAUAAGACAGAACUGUCUCCCUAAAAACUAACCCUAAUCUUGUGCAUCUUUGGUCCCAACUACUCAUCUCUCUAGGGGGAAAGCUAAGAGACUUCUGUCACUCCUAGAACCCAUAAUUUCCUCUCUCUAUGCAUUAUUAAGGCAAAAAGAUUAUAGCUUAUGAAAGGCAGCCCAUCAAUUUUAUAGUCCGUACAAACCACCCAUCAACGACAUAGCAUCCUGAUGAAUGAUGCUGUGAGCCCAUCUGCACUAUUAAUUUUCCCUCAGUCAAAGUGAGUUUUUAUGCUGCAUUCUAAGAAUUACAACUUUCCAGUGGGGACAUUAUUUGGGAAAGUCAUUUCAAGCGUGCCGCUUUCCUGACUCCAUGUGAAUCUACAGCUCACUGUCACCAUGGAUACCGCCUAGCUUUGCGUCUUUACCAUCUUGACAUAAUGAUAUCCACAUCUCAGAAGAGACUGUAUCCCUAACCCCAUGGGUGACUUCUGUGAGCUUGUCAGGACCCCUUGGUCCACAGUCCACAAUGGGAGAGAUAUGGACAACCUAUGAGAGGGGCUGAAAAGUUGGAGCCAGGGGAGUAGAUCUGCCCUGCUCUGUGUUCUCAUAUGGUCUAUGAGAUAAGAAAGGUUUCUAUAGUUUUUCAAUGUUGAGAAAAUGUCAGAACAUAUAUCCCCUGAACACUGAAAUGAUAGGAAAUUAAAAUGGCAUUGUCUACAAAGUGUGAUUGACACAUGUUCACCCUGUUGGUUUACCAGCUCCUGUUCGUCCCUCCCCACCCCCACUGCAAAGAUGGGAAGAUAUCCCAGAAAUCACAUGGCCUUCAAAGUUAAAAUUUUACUCUGUGACUCUUAAAAAAACAAACCACUUUUCUGUCUUGGUCUAUGCACUUGGAAUCUUCAUCCCCUGAACUCUUUGUGUGAAUAGAAAUACUAGCAAUGUGCGGUUUAAUGACAACACCUGGGGAAUUUGGUAUUUCAUUUUCAACUAAGCACUGAAAAGUUUGUAUAUGGGAGAUCACAACGCAAGAUAGAUGUGACAGGGAAGGCUCCUCCCUUUCUGAGGAUCAAUAAAUGGUGGCUAUC